rnacentral:sRNA from 1 species
GCUGGGUGUGGUGGUGCACACCUGUAAUCCCAGUAACUCAGGAAGCUGAAGCAGGAGGAUCGCAAGUUCAAAGCCAGCCUGGGCAACUUAGUGAGACCCUCCAGCAACUU